rnacentral:rRNA from 1 species
UACGGAGGGUCCAAGCGUUGUCCGGAAUCACUGGGCGUAAAGGGUGUGCAGGUGGGGUAGCAAGUCAGAGGUGAAAGCCCGCGGCUUAACCGCGGAAGUGCCUUUGAAACUGCUGCUCUUGAGUCCCGGAGAGGUUGCCGGAAUUCGUGGUGUAGCGGUGAAAUGCGUAGAUAUCACGAGGAACACCAGAGGCGAAAGCGGGCAACUGGACGGGUACUGACACUGAGGCACGAAAGCGUGGGGAGCAAACAGG